rnacentral:SRP_RNA from 1 species
GCCAGGCAUGGUGGCGUGCACCUGUAGUCCCAGUUACUUGGAAGGCUUAGGUGGGAGGAUCGCUUGAGCCCAGGAGUUCUGGGCUGUAGUGUGCUAUGCCAGUCGGGUGUCCACACUAAGUUCGUCAUCAAUAUGGUGACCUCCCAGGAGCGGGGGACCACCAGGUUGCCUAAGAAGGGGUGAACCGGCCCAGGUCAGAAACAGAGCAGGUCAAAAUUCCCGUGCUGAUCAGUAGUGGGAUCACGCCCGUGAAUAGCCACUGCACUCCAGCCUGGGCAACAUAGUGAGACCCUGUCUCU